UACGGAGGGUGCAAGCGUUAUCCGGAAUCAUUGGGUUUAAAGGGUCCGUAGGCGGAUUGAUAAGUCAGGGGUGAAAUCCCACAGCUCAACUGUGGAACUGCCUUUGAUACUGUUAGUCUUGAGUUAUAUGGAAGUAGAUAGAAUGUGUAGUGUAGCGGUGAAAUGCUUAGAGAUUACACAGAAUACCGAUUGCGAAGGCAGUCUACUACGUAUAUACUGACGCUAAUGGACGAAAGCGUGGGGAGCGAACAGGAUUAGAUACCCCGGUAGU
rnacentral:rRNA from 1 species